rnacentral:rRNA from 1 species
UACGUAGGGGGCAAGCGUUGUCCGGAAUCAUUGGGCGUAAAACGCGUGUAGGCGGCCAGAAAAGUCCGCUGUGAAAACUCGAGGCUCAACUUCGAGCUGUCGGUGGAAACUUUCUGGCUAGAGUCCGGAAGAGGAGAAUGGAAUUCCUGGUGUAGCGGUGAAAUGCGCAGAUAUCAGGAAGAACACCCGUGGCGAAGGCGGUUCUCUGGGACGGUACUGACGCUGAGACGCGAAAGCGUGGGGAGCGAACAGG